CGGAUUGCAGUCUGCAACUCGAGUGCAUGAAGCUGGAAUCGCUAGUAAUCGCGGAUCAGAAUGCCGCGGUGAAUACGUUCCCGGGUCUUGUACACACCGCCCGUCACACCAUGGGAGUCGGGAAUGCCCGAAGCCGGUGGCCCGAUCGAAAGAAGGGAGCCGUCGAAGGCAGGCCGGAUGACUGGGGUGAAGUCGUAACAAGGUACC
rnacentral:rRNA from 1 species